GUUCCUUUUUCUCCAUACCCUCUCCAGCAUUUAUUAGUUGUAGAUUUUUAAAUUAUGGUGUGAGGUGCUACCUCAUUGUAGUUCUGAUUUGCAUUUCUCCGUAGAGUUACUCUUAAUUGAAUACUACCAUGUGCCUGACACUGCAGAUCCAUGAUCUCAUUUUACCUAUAUGUUUGCUCUGGAAGGUUGUUUCCUUUGGCUCUAGAUGAAGACAUAGAAGCUCAGAAAAGUAAAAUGACUCUGAAGGUCACCUAGUUGGAGGACCAGGGCCAAUCUGAGAACUCACAUUUAAGAGGAGAGCUCCACGCAAACCUCUGUUCCCCACUCCCACGCCCACUGUCCGCCUUCAGCUGUCCCCUUCAUUCUGUAAUUAUGACUCACGUAAUGAGAAGUUAUCACUAGAGUGCCAAUACCUUCAAGGGAUUUCAGCUGCAGUUGCAGAAAGAGCUGUACCAGCCCCAAGGACCACUGUUAAUAAAGAAGAGAAGAAACCUUUCAAGUUCAUUAAGAGGAAAAAAAAGUUUCUGCCCUCACUGCCAAGUCUUGGCGUAUUCCCCAGGAAGUAACUAAAACAAGUGGAAGGCAUGUGGUGUUUAUCAGACCUUAAAGCAGAAGUCCUGUGCCAGUGAAGACACCAGGAGAAUGAGAAGGAAGGAGAUGUUUCUGCAUGGUGGGCACCUCGCAGUCUGCCUUGCACACAGUGGUGGGAGGAAGAGCCUUUAAGAAAGGGAACAGAGUUGCAAGCUGGAAGGAUGCUAAUAACGAAGGAAGGGACAGUGUUUUAAAUUGGAUUAAACUAACCAGUGAUUUUAGCCGUUUGUUAUCUGAUUCUUUUCUCUUGUGCAAAUGACUGAGUAGCAUAUAUUUGUGAAAGGAUUUGCUCUCAGCCACAGGGAGAAGGCAUGUUUAUAAACUACUAGAAGUACCGGGCAAGCAGGAAGAGGUCAAAGGAAAAUGGAUUGAGAACCAGAAGACCUGGGAUUCAAGUUUCAGUCUCAGCGCUGUCACCAGUUUGCUGUGUGGUUUGGGAGCCACCACCUCAUUUGUGUGGAGUAUUUAUUCCCUUCCUAGGAUGCCCAAUGGGAAAGAAUAAAUGCCUUCCCGGUAUCUCAUCCACACCAUAAGGAUAAGGAUCAUUUGAUGAUGAGUUGCUGAAAAAAAAAAUUUACAGUAAUCCCAUUUUAUUGAAAAAAAAUUGUAUUUUUCUAGGAUAACAGUGGAUGGGAAUGAUAAUCAAGUUUAUAUAAGUUCAAAGUUUUGUGCUACAAUAAAAACUUCUCAUGCCUUAAAAAUGAA